rnacentral:lncRNA from 1 species
AUGCCAGGGACACUUUCCUGGCUGAGCACAGGACGCCCAUCUCCUCCUGGGCUGCGUUGCCGGUGCCCCUUAGGCCGCUCUGGCUCAACUCCGUUCCUGGGACGAGCUGCCCCCACCCUUUGCCCCCCAGUUCAGCCUAGGCUGGGACCCUCCUCCUUCAGGGUGGACGUUCGGGAGUGGACACGCGCAGCGCCGCGCCGUGUGCCAGGCGCUAAUGCAGGCGCUGGGGGCCGAGAGACCCAGGAGACGGCGCAGGGGCCCGGGCCGCCGCGUCCCGGCAACGGCGAGGUCCCUCCUCCGAGGCGGAGGGGGCUGGAGGAGGCCUCGCGGCCCGGGAGGAGGCUUCCCCGCCCAGGAGGGGGCUCGCCUGAGUCUCGAAGCACGAGCAGCGUUUCCAUGCUUUCCCACAGCUGGGGUGCUGCGGUUAUCGCUCUAGAAGGCGACUGCCACGGAGGCGGCAGGGGCAGAAGGAGCGGGGAGGAAGGAGAAAGGGGUCCUCCGGGGCUUUCCAUCCCGUCCUCUCCAUCCCGUCCUCGAUCCUUUAAGGAAGAUGAGCCCCGAGCUCCCGUCCGUGCCGCCCCCUCUGUCCGCGGGGCCGGCGGGGGCCAGCCCUGCAACUGCCAUUUUUUAAAAGGCACUGACUGUGCCUUAGAGACGCUCCUAAGUGCUAGAGAGUGCCCUCUUUCUGGGCACAACGUUGUCCGUCGCUACACGCACCUGGCAACCGCGGGAGGCCCCACCUGCCGGGGUGCCCCACCUGCCGUCCCCCUGUCCCCGGGCGUCCUGGAGCCGGGAGCCCCGGCGUGCGUCCUGCGGCCAGAAGUGCAGAAGGGUUUGGUCCCAUCUCAGCGGACGCGCGCGGUGAGGGCCCCGGGUGCGGCGGCGGCUGCCCAGGGCGGCCAGUGGCCGAGACACAGGAGUUGGGCCGGGUCUCUGCUCCUCUGGGAGCCGCAGCUGCCGGAGGAGAACUUCCUGCAGGGGAGGGGCGGUUCUCAGGACAGCCUGUGCCCCGGGGCUACCCUCCCUGAGGGGCGCACAGCCCGAGCCCCGCCUCUCUCUUUAUUCCCCCGCGGAGCGCGUCCGCAGCAGCCAGGCUGCUCGGGCCGUGCGGAGGGGACCCAGCUCCUCCCGAGCUUCGCAAGGCCUUGGCCGCCGCGCUGACCUGCCGCCCGGCCCUUGCUUGGGGCGCUGCAGCGGCCCGGCCUCGGUUCACCGGCCCAGCUCCUCCCCCGCAGGUUCUCAAGGGAAGGGCUGCCUCCGGGGUGUGCUCAGUUCAGAGGCCCCUUGUCACCCCUAAUCGAGCUGAGCCUCCAGGGUGAUUGUUCUUAAACUAUACCGGCCUUGGGCGACAGGCAGAAGCAAUUACAGCAUCAAGCACCUCAAGGACCCAGUCCCCCUCUUACUCUCCUUUCUGGCUUCAUGGCCCAGGCUGACCCUAAGUCCCACAUCGUUUGAUUCGGGCCGAUGCAUCGCCUUCUCCUACGCUGGAUCCUUUCCUGGGUUGCCCACAUUCACCUCCGUGUAUCUCCCUGACUCCAAUCCUCAGGGCCCUGCAUCCAAGGAGAGGCCUUUGCUCCGUUCAAUGUCAGGCCCACUACAAGUGUGCUGCGGUGGGGAAGACGCUGAAGACCAAGCUGCCGGUGGUUCCUUUUGCUGAAUACGGAAGAAAAGACCUGCUACAUAUUUGCUGCCUCAUUUAACCUUCACGAUAAUCCUAUGAGGUAGCAUCACUGUGACCCUCAUUUUAGAGGAAAGAAUGCUAAGGCUCAGGUUUUUCGUGGUCAGUGCUGAGAUUCAAAGCCAGCUCUGUUGGACUGAAGGCCCCUCACGCGUGCUGCCUUCCUGCCAUGGAAGAGCUUCUCAUCCUCCGUGGAUAAUAUUCACCUGAGAAUAAAGGAUACGUCACCCAGGGAAGUCCCUACA